GACGAACGCUGGCGGCGUGCCUAAUACAUGCAAGUAGAACGCACAGUUUAUACCGUAGCUUGCUACACCAUAGACUGUGAGUUGCGAACGGGUGAGUAACGCGUAGGUAACCUGCCUGGUAGCGGGGGAUAACUAUUGGAAACGAUAGCUAAUACCGCAUAAUAUUAAUUAUUGCAUGAUAAUUAAUUGAACGGUGCAAUUGCACCACUACCAGAUGGACCUGCGUUGUAUUAGCUAGUAGGUGAGGUAACGGCUCACCUAGGCGACGAUACAUAGCCGACCUGAGAGGGUGAUCGGCCACACUGGGACUGAGACACGGCCCAGACUCCUACGGGAGGCAGCAGUAGGGAAUCUUCGGCAAUGGACGAAAGUCUGACCGAGCAACGCCGCGUGAGUGAAGAAGGUUUUCGGAUCGUAAAGCUCUGUUGUAAGAGAAGAACGGGUGUGAGAGUGGAAAGUUCACACUGUGACGGUAGCUUACCAGAAAGGGACGGCUAACUACGUG
rnacentral:rRNA from 1 species